UCUUACAUGCAUUAGGACCUGCUUCAAGGAUACCCUCUCACCGUAUCUGCUUACUGAAGUAGUAACACAUUGUUCUAAUUAUUCUAUUUUUACUUCAUAUUAUUCUAUGUGGUAGUGAGAAUUCUAAUGACUUGCCUUUUCCAAAAAUUUAAAAGCAAUUCUUGCCACUUAUUUUUUCAUAUAAACUUCCGAAUAAUUUAAUUGUACUCUUUCCUGUCCCCAAUCUACUGAAUCUAAUAUAUUAAGCCUAUAAAUUAAUUCGAAGAGAACUGACGUCUUCAUACUCCCCAGGCUUUUCCUCCCGCAUGAUCUAUCUUCUUGUUUAUUCAAAUAGCUAACUUGUUUUUAUAUAAUCAGUAAAAUGUCUGCAAUAUAAGAUUUUUAAUCAAUCCAUGAACUCCUGUAGAAAUGUGGUUUGACCAAAGCAGUCCUGGACCAGGAGGCGUGGCUUCUUGCCCCAGCUCUGCCGCCGAUCCGCUGUAUGAACUCGGACAAGGAGCAUCUUUGGGCCUCAGUGUUUUCACCUGUAAAAUGAAGAAGGCUUCAUGAAGAGUCCUCGAAGAUCUCUCCAGUGAAGGCAGUCUGUGAUUCCAUGAAUCAUGAUGCAAAAUUUGUCCCCCAAAGGAGGAGCAACGUUACUAUACCUCACUGCACGAUUGUCACAGGCAUUCGCAGAACUGUGAUCAACGUAUCCACCCACCCCUCCUGAGAUGAGGGGCACUAAGAAACAGAAGACCUGUGUGUUCUAUGGAAUUAGUUCGCUUUCUUACAUUUUCUAGCCUUCAGUGCUGUGAUAAAAACAAAUUUAAAAGCACCCUGCAACACCGUCGUUGAGGUUCCAAAGCAAGGGUGAGAUGUGAGCCCUCAGUGGGAGGAGGCGGGUCUCAUGAUGGGGGCAUGGAGCGUGGGCACUGUUACCAUUGCGCAAAGCUCCAGGGAAGCGAAACAAAGGAAAUGGAGGAGCUUUGAAGGUCCCUGCCAAACUCUUCUUAAGAGCAACAGGAUUAGGAGGAAAAUGAGGCUUCUGAGGGCAUGACCAAGCAUUUACUAUCCCCUUGGAAGCUGCAAAACAAAAACACAAUCAUCUUCAUCUCGCCAUUAAAAAGAAAACAUGAAGGACAGUGGAUCUGGUUGAUCUCUGUAAGUGGAUUACAAAGCUUGGAUGGAAAUUCUUUUGCAAUGAAGUGGCCCAAAGCUUCAUGGCCAGGACAGAAUACCUCAGCGCAGAGCUUUAGGUCCACCCUAGACCUUAGAAAAAUGAGGCUUAAUUCUACAUCAUAAAUGGUUUUAAUCUGCACAACUUUUCCUACUACUUUUGAAACAAUUUGGUUUCAGGAACAAUGGAAGCUCGAACUCAGUUUGUUGGCGGCCAUUAACAGCUCUCAUUUGGAUGAAUAUUUUUGAAAGCUCUUUUUUUUUUUUCAUUGUCACAAAAAAUGAACUAGCGAUGCAUAAGCAAACAUAAAAGAAGAGCUUAAUAUAUUGGCAGAUAAAAACACAGCACACAGUGAAGGAAUGUAUUAUGGACAUCAGCUGUAAAAAUGUUUUCAAUUCCUUUUGGUGUUAAGAUACAGCGUAAGAAACUAGUCAGUUUCUGGAGAGUCGCUUGAGGCAAUUUGCAUAGAGAAUGUUUAUUGCAGGAUGGCAGAUGUGACUGAAUAAAUAGAGCUGGUUCUUGUGGAUGUUGCCUCCCGUCUCUGUCCAGGCUCCCAGCAUCUGGGAGCUGAGGCCGUGCGGUGCUAAGAGAAAGAUUCCAGGGAUCGAGACACAGUAACAGGUCUUCCCCACAAGUCUGUAUAAUUUUAACUUAAUUUGCAGCUAAUCGAUGCAGCUCUGUUAGAGGUUUCUGUGAGGUGAGUCCUCUGAAAGAACUCUUUGAACAAGAGAAAUGCAGGUUUACUCUCAGCCCCAGAAACAUUUCCUUUUUUUUUUUAAGAUGGCACAACAUAAAUUCACCCCGUUUGUGCACAUUGUGAUCCUUUCCCGUUCUAUUGUGGAAGAUGGUUUACCACACAGGCUCUUUUAUAACCGGGUUCUGGGGAAGCACUUAAUUACUCACCUAGGGAGGAGGGCUUCACGUGGAGAAAAGAGUGACGAAAAUGUUAUGAAAAGUGACAUGGAUUGAAAGGGAGGAUAAUACGCCAAAUUAUAAAACCAAACAGACAAUUUUCUUUGAUUUCCUUCCAGAUGUAAGAAAGAGGUCGUGUGAACCAACCAUCCUGCGAACAGACGAUUGUUCCCUCUGGGGGUCCUAGGGAAGGGAAGGAGGGGCAGAGGAGCACACGGGUUGUGGCUCAUUUGGGUUUCUCGUUCCAGAUGCAGUGGUGACAGCGGACCUGCUCCACUGUGCCUUCCAGUUGCCUUUGGGGUCAGGUUCCAAUGCUGAGCACGCCCACGAGCGCUGCUGGUCAGCCUCUUUUCCAGCCAUCCUCCACAGGCCCCCAGGGUUCCUCAAGAGCAAACGUCACCAACUCAGGUUGGCCUUCCACGGUCUGCUGACCUACCUUAGAUCUCCCACGCCUAUGCGCUCACCGCAUCCUGCGGGUUUCCCACCUGGCUUGCACCGCUGUCUGUAAAUGUGCAUUUGCCUGUGCAUUUACUGGUUUCUCUGGCCGGACUGUGCAUCCCAGUCAGGGCUCGCUGCCGCUCCCCAGCACCCGGAAGAGGCCUGGCGCAGAGAAGAUGCCCAGUAAAUUGUUGGUGACAAAUAAGCCGCCUUUAUGGUUUUCCGAGGAAGGCUGGUCUCCAUUCCCCUGGCUUGUCCAGGCAGAAUUCUCCGACAGCUUGAUUUCCAUCUGCCUCCCCUCUACUUUCUCACUCCCCGUCUCUGUCCUUCCCUCCUUCCCUCUGUUCAUUUGCAACAACUUUAUUGGUUUCCUUGUUUUUUUCUCCCAUGUUGCUCUAGAAGGAAACAGAUGGGUAGAGGAUUUCAGAUGAAUACUGAAUAUCACAUCCCCAUUGAUGAGAUCAUUUCGGAAUUUUCUAAAAUUACUCUUCACGGUUACAUGGCCAGGGAGAAAAUAUCCCUGGGUUUUUGAGAGUUGGGAUGCUGCUGCCAGGUUUAAACCAUUAUCAAAGAGACAAAGGCUCAUCAGGAUAAAGCUGCUGGAAUUUUCUUCAGCAGUAGACUAUAUUCAAUAAUAGUACUCACCUGGAGGUACACUGCGCGACAGCUCCUUCUUUUGCGUGUGUGUGUAAUUACUUGUCACUGUCCCUAAAUGUCAUAUCUGGGACAGCUUAUCUUCCUUUAUACAUUUGCAAUAGCAUCCACCUUGAGGCUGCCCAUAGCAGAUUACACGGCCUUGGAAAGUAUUUUUAAUAUUACAUAUUAAUAGCAUAAGAUUUUUGUCUCCUCCGUUUAAAAAAAUGUCGGCCAGUGUGUCAAAAAGGUGAUGUCACGCCUUGAGCGUAUGAAAGGCAUUCCAGGUGUUAUGGCCUGCCUGCCACAUUUGAUUCCAUCAUCCCGUAUUCCCCAGGAAAUUAAGUUUGUAUGGACUUGGCUCCUUCAGAGAAGCCAGCUGAACUCUGUCAGGGUGAAGCCCAUCAGUUGUGUAUGGAGCCAUCUCUAGCAUUGAUGCUACAAACUGAGUUGUUGGAGCCAAAGAACAGGCAAACACAUUCGUGGUACCUGGUGGCCAAAUACCCUCUCUUCCCAGUGAUGCCCUUAGCAUUUUGACUCUAGGCCAACCACCUCUCUCUCCCACCUUCCUCUCAGCUGGAGAAAGGCUGCCCUGGUGCAGAGCUGCAGCCAGUCUCAACAUCUCAGCGCAGGCAGGGAGGUCUGUCAGUAACCUAGCAACGUGGCCACAGAAGCAUCCUCAUGCUCUUUAGUUUUUCAAAUAAUGAAAAGAUAGUCAAUAACAUUUUGCGAUUUAAACAGUGCAGUCUCCAAGGACCUUAAAGUCUGCUGUGAAUGGAGGAAAGGAAUCACGAGGACCUGCUCCUGCAGGGAUGGCUAGCUCUAUUUUACAGAUGGCUAAGCGGGAUCAAGCAGAGCACAGGGGUCCAUUCCACAUGAGUGGCAGGACCGGCUCGGAAGUGUGCAGAAAGAACUUCGACCAACGGAAAUAACUAAAGAAAGGGAGCUGUAAACCAGCCCAUUUUUUCUCAUUAAACUUUACGCCUCUUAGGGAGCAGAGAAUGUGUUCUUCAUAUGUUCUAAAAAGUAUCAGCCUUACUAGUUCCUAAAUUAUAGCUGGAAUCAAUGGGUAUGUGGUCUACCUUAUAGCCUCACUGCUGAACGGAGGGAGAAUCAGCUAUCGGAAAAGUUUGUUAGUUUUCUAAAAGUGGGAUUAUUCUGUGAUUGUUUUCUGACAAUGUAAUUCAUUUCUGAUCUGAAGGCAGAUACUCUUGUUUCUUCACUCCUUCAUUUUUUCUAACAGUGGUGGUUUUUCUAAAAAAAUUGCCACACAUUUUCUGAUACUCCUUGAGAGAUGGGGUCUUUGUAAUCUCCUCUAGAGUCUGGAUGGGCUUAACUGACUCAGUCAAUGGGAUAUUGUGGAAGUUAUGCCGUUUGACUUUCUAGGCUGACUCAUAUAAGGUGGUACAGCUUCCUCCCCAUUCACUGGAACACUCACAUUGGGAGCCUGGGGAAGCCACGUAGGAAGUCUGACCAGCACGAGGCCGCCAUGCUGUGUGGAAACCCAAGUCACACUGUGAGGCUCUGCGUAGCUGCCCCGGUUAACCAUCCCAGCUGAGCUCAGCCUGAGUCACUCGCCUCCAGACACCAGACAUGUGAGUGAAGGAGCCUCCAGGUAAUUAUCCUGCCCCAAGCCAUUCUACUUGUCCCAUCUGAAGCCGUGACAUCGUGAAACAGACGCUAGCCAUCCUCUCUGUACCCUUUCCAAAUUAUCUGUAAGAAUAAUUAAAUCAUUGUUGUUUUACACCACUAAGUUUAAGGACAUUUCUUAAGCAACAUUAAUAACCAAAACACUAACUGAACCCCAAUUCACCCUCCACUGCAUGUUUAUGUCCUGGAGGAGAGGAUGUGGCCCUUUCUCGGCUGCUGAGGGUGAGUAUUUGUUUGUUUAAGGCAAUUGUGGUCAUGUCAUUUCUCUCACUAUGUGUUUAGAUUGGGUGUGAUCUGGAGAUGCUAUUCCGGCCAAUACAAUGGGUGGAGAAGUUUGCUGGGCUGCUUUUGGGAAAAUUCCCCUUAUUCUCAAUGGGAUUUGCAGGACAGGGUGGUUCCCACUGCUACCUUUGCAUGUUGUUGUCUGUGCAUGGUGCCUAUGCCUGUGGUACCCAUCCUAGGACUCUCUAUCGGGGGAGACAACAGCCCAAGAGCACAAGCCCCACACUGAAGGUGCUAGGUCAAAGAGGAGCGGGGAGAAGCCAUGCCCUUGAUGAUGCUCAACAUCGACGGUGCUCAGUCCUGGAAGAAGCUCCGCCUUUGCACUUCUUGUUGUGGAGUAUAGUUUCCUCGUUGCUUGAGCCUGCUUGCGUUGGGCCUUCUGAGAGCUUCAGCCAAAGUUGCCUAAGUGGUCUUUGCUAUCUCAGAGCACAGAUUUUGGUCCUAAAGAUCCAGGUUCAAAUCUUGGUUCUGUCACUUACCAGCUGUGAAACUUUGAGUUGUUCUGACUCUAUUCCUUCAACUGUAAAAUUAGGAUAAAAAAGGUUUUCGUUACUGAAUUCUUGUGAAGAUAAAAUCAUUCACUCAAUAAGUCAUUAUUGAGUGCCUGCUGUGUGCCAGGCACCGUUCUCGGCACUGGGGAAGUGGCUUUGAGGGAGACAGAUAAGCUUCCAGCCGUCAUGGUGCCUUGAUUGGUGCGAGGGAGCCGGGUAAUAAAUGAGCAAAGGAACAAGAGAAUCUCAGUGGCAAAUGCUACGAAGAUGGAAUGAGACGAGGCCCACAAAACGCCCAACACUGGGCCUCGCACACUGCCAGCAAACCGUAAUGGUAUCUAUUGUUUUUAUUCUUAAAGUUAAUGGUAUUCAGAUCACCAUUAGGAAAAGCGAGUGAGCAUGAGUGAACUUUGAUUUUGGUCUGAGGAUUGUAGGAAAGCGAAGGGUGUUCGUUCCUCCUGUUUCCAUCCAUUAGGAUUAAGAAGUUGAGGCCUGCUCUGCAGUGCACUGGUCUGAAUUUUAGCCUUUAGCAUCUUGGAAUUGGCUCCUUCCUCGGCCCGGCCCCGCCCCAGGUUAGCUGGGAGAGGUGUGUGGCUGUUGUGCAAGGGGCUCCAUGGGAAGGGCGUCCACUGGCUCUGUUCUGACCCUCGGGCAGCCGGGGUGAUGGGAGAGUGUCAGACUGAGGUGGCCAAGCGCCAGCACGUCCCCAGGUUCUCCUUGCUGCCAUGGCCUCACGCCGCCCAACUGUGCAAAGCGGGUGGACGGACGGAACCACGGCUCCAGCGCCCGCACGCCGAGGUCGUGCACUGAAAGCUGCGAGGGCUUGGCUGGGCGAGGCUCGUUUCGUCUUUGCGGGAGCAGUUCCUGUUCUACGUUUUCCAAAUACCUAGAAAUUGGAGAAUAAUGACAAAAACUACUCAGCGUGGAUUUUUGUAGGGAGGGGUGGGCCAGGCAUUUGUAAAGUAUCUUUAAAUUGCCGUGGCGUCCAAGAAAGAUUAAUGGAUGAAAAGUCUUGACUUCCAGCUCAAAGUGGCAGAGGAAAUUCUGCCAUAACAUGGUCUGCCGCUAAUCCCCAUCAGUGCAGAGCUGGAUGACUUUUUGCACUGUCUUAUCUCUCUAUUAAGGCAUCUAAUCACUCUUUUCCUGUUUACUUUCUCCCUAAUAUGCACAGUCUGUUAAUGAUAAAUAGUGCUGAAUACCCACCCACACCUCCAGCUGAGAGACUGAGCUCAGGGGCUCUCUGCCUGUGUGUUUGGAAGCCGUGCUUAUGCUGGGUGCUGCCUUGACGCCGGUUAUCCCAAAGAACACCCCCUUCUCACAUCUCAGCUCUCCGUGCCAGGCUGGAAUUCAAUCUGCCUGGCUUGCUGGGCAGCCCUUCAGAUCUGAGUAGGACUUCGGGCUGCUGCUGUCAAACCCACGGAGAAGAAAAACAAGCCCUGCCUGCCCGGCCCUGGCUGCUGGGCGGCCGAGACCUGCAGCUGCGUAGCCAUCCUGUCGUGAGUGAUGGGCCGUGACCGCUCAGCUGUGCAGGCUCACCACUGAAGAUGCACAUGCAGCCCUUUCUUUUCUUUGCGUGCUUGCAUCUGUUCACUGAGGCAUUCCCCUGGAGCUCAGGGUGGUGCAUUUUUUUUUUUUAGGGGAUUGUCGGUUCCAAGUGCUUCUUGCCGUCUUACAAAGGAAACCUGCUGAAUCAUCAGUGGUGGACAAAUACCGUGGCUGGAGCUGACGUUUGAUGGUGUUCCUGGUGGAGGAGGCCACUGUCCGUUCAACCUUUAGGCCUUCGUGGAGGGGUGGGUACUAGAAACUUUCAGUUUCCGUAUGCAGCCUGCGUUACACUUCUGGACAGUGCUGUCACCGAAUGAGGAUCUCAGAGAUUGUCUAUUGUGACCACCCUGUAGAAACUGGAUGGACCUCAACCCAAAAUUUGGCUCAGAUGUUGAGACUGAUUAUGUCACAUAUCAAGAGGAGAUGAAAAGUGUCUCAUGGAAAGCCACCUUGGAGGACAAGAAGAUUCUUUCUCCAGGAGAUGGUCUUUGUGUUUUGUGGAUCUGCUGGGAAGGAGGAAAUGCUGAAAGCUGGCGGUCAGGUGCUGCCUGGGCCCCCAGGGACUCUGGCUCCUAGAGCAGCCCCAGGCCGACUUGGCUGAUGUUUGCUGACAAGCUGGCUCAGGAAAGUGACUUGAAAAGUAAAUACUAACUCAACACAAAAUGAAAAGGAAACGAAGAGUCUGAAAAAAAACCAAAAACACAAACAAAUCCGUGAGAAGAGAGUGGGCAUUGUGCGCUCCCUCUUUUUGACAUCAAAGUGUCUUUGAAUGGAGCCAGGAAGCUCUCACAUCUUUAAAUCCACGUUUACUUGAGGUUUGAAAACUUCCAAGAGAGGUUAGCAGUCCGGGGACAGAGGGCUCCCACUGCACCACAGGAGCAGAGCUUAAAUGCUUUACAAAGAAAAGGGAACACACUCGUUGGGGUUUGUUUUAAUCCUUCCAGGAGAGUGGUGUGGAGUGUACAGCAUGCAUUUGGAAGCCCGAGUACUUAAACACACAUCUGGGAAGGUUCAGAAUCUUCGCCUGGUUCUCGGUGUCUCUGAAGUGUUAGUAGUCCAGUGUCUUGUUUAUUGUGCCACACAAAAAUAAAUCUGAAUCUGUUUUGAUUUUUCUGAUUCUCUUCCACUCUGGAAGUAGAGCAGCCUUUUUGGUGGAAGUGACUUGCAUAAAGUCUCAAAUAAUUACCAAUUCCAGCUGACACUCGCUGGGACCCUGGAACUCGCUCCAUCUGCUGCCUUCCAGGAAGAACAAAGGAUGGAAGGAGUUGCUGGAGAACCAGAGAAAGAGCGCCUCCUAUAUUAUGGCCAACACAGAGAAUUCCAUAAAGAUUUGCAUGUGGAGUCAGCCCACAAUUGUCUGGCGAAUGGGAGAAGAUAGAUAUGAAAAGUAAUUUUACCAGACCAACUUAGACGGCAGUUCUGGGAUGCACCGGUGGAUUCUUGGUCCAGACGUGGAACCUGUUUUUUAAGUUCAAGAUGAGUUUAACCACAACCCAGGUGAGAUCGACGGGCAGCCAACAAAGGAUGGCUCAGCCCAUCCAAUCAAAAGACGUCAAAGCUAGACCAUGAGGAGGUCGAGGGAACUACUCCAAUAAAAGUUCAUGAAGGCCCUUGUCCAGUUUCCAGACUUGAGCCAGUUUUUGGACAGAACCUGUUGACUGAAGGAAAGGCAGAUUCUCCAGGACGAAGGAACUUGCAACACCACGCAGGUAAAUAUGAUAAUAAUUCCUCGGAUAAUAAUUCCCCAAAGGGCCUCCAAUGGUACUCAGGUAACUGGAUGAAGUUACUCUGGUAACUGCACACCCAAAUAUUUCAAACAGAGUUGGCAGCAGAGUCUCAGUUGACCUUGAUACCCGGGGUCCCUCCCUCUUAGACAGCCUAGGUCCAACAUACAUAGUCCAUUGAGUCCACGGAAGCAUCCAGAGGUCGUUUCCCUGGAACAGACAUACUUGGUAGUUUGUAGAACUGCCGUUUUAUUCCUUGGCUUCUAAGCUAAGGGAUAUUGUGAGGAAAAAGCCAAGUGGAAGCCUUUGGAACUGCUCUCCUCCUAAUGGUCACAUGGGCUAUUACUUUGUUGGCCCUCAAUGAGCCACACCUUCCAAUAGUCACACCUAUGUGUAGUCCCCUCCAGCAUCGACUCUGAGCUUGGGAAAAUGGAUGUGGGCAGGCAUGAUGCAAGCAAAGGCUGAGAAGAGUCUGCACGUGGUGGCUUGUCUUCUUGGAGUGCUUGCUCUGGGGAUCUGUUAGCCAUGGAAAGAAGCUCUAGGUAGCCACAUGAAGAGACGACACGGAAAGAGAGGCCCCAGCCUGCCAGCCCUCCCUGCUAAUGUGCCCACCACAUGAGCGAAGCUGUCUUGGACAUUCCUGCCAUCUGACUGCAUCUGCUUGAGAGACUCCAAGCAAGACCAGCAGAAGAACGAUCCAGUUCAGCCCUGUGAACCCACGCGUUGGUUCUAAGUAAUAAAAUGGUAGCUGUUUUAA